UACGUAGGGUGCGAGCGUUGUCCGGAAUUAUUGGGCGUAAAGGGCUCGUAGGCGGUUUGUCGCGUCGGGAGUGAAAAUCCAGGGCUUAACUCUGGACUGGCUUCCGAUACGGGCAGACUAGAGGUAUGCAGGGGAGAACGGAAUUCCUGGUGUAGCGGUGAAAUGCGCAGAUAUCAGGAGGAACACCGGUGGCGAAGGCGGUUCUCUGGGCAUUACCUGGCGCUGAGGAGCGAAAGUGUGGGGAGCGAACAGG
rnacentral:rRNA from 1 species